ACCUACGGGGGGCAGCAGUGGGGAAUCUUCCGCAAUGGACGAAAGUCUGACGGAGCAACGCCGCGUGAGUGAUGAAGGCCUUCGGGUCGUAAAGCUCUGUUAUUAGGGACGAACGUCUUCUAUGUAAAUAAUGUAGGAGAGUGACGGUACCUAAGGAGGAAGCCACGGCUAACUACGUGCCAGCAGCCGCGGUAAUACGUAGGUGGCAAGCGUUGUCCGGAAUUAUUGGGCGUAAAGCGCGCGUAGGUGGGAUCAUAAGUCUUAUGUAAAAGUGCGGGGCUCAACCCCGUAAAGCGUGAGAAACUGUGAUUCUUGAGUGCAGGAGAGGAAAGCGGAAUUCCCAGUGUAGCGGUGAAAUGCGUAGAUAUUGGGAGGAACACCAGUGGCGAAGGCGGCUUUCUGGACUGUGUCUGACACUGAGGCGCGAAAGCUAGGGGAGCGAACGGGAUUAGAUACCCCGGUAGUCCA
rnacentral:rRNA from 1 species